GCCGUACGUUUGUUCAGCUGGGGUUGAAGGCUCAGAGCUUCCGAGCACUAGACAGGCCUGGGCCUGGGCUCACUGGUAUGGGGUCUCCCAGUAAUCUCCUGAGUCUGCUUUUCCAUCACAGGUGACUGCUGGUACCACAUCCCAUCUCCUCCCAAGCAGAAGCUCACACAAGUGUCUGUGGGCCAGACAUCAGUUUAUGCCUUGGAUGAAAACGGGAACCUGUGGUACCGAGCAGGGAUCACCCCCAGCUACCCGCAGGGCUCCAGCUGGGAGCACGUGUCCAACAAUGUGCGCAAAGUGUCUGUGGGGCCACUGGACCAGGUGAGUGGAGGAGAUCCGGCCUCUGGGCAGUGGGAAGCGGGAUCCCCUCUCUGGUCUCUCCCUUCUGUAUCUAGCCGUCCCUGUG
rnacentral:lncRNA from 1 species